rnacentral:rRNA from 1 species
CAGUAGCCGCGGGAAUACGUAGGGUGCAAGCGUUAAUCGGAAUUACUGGGCGUAAAGCGCACGUAGGCGGACAUUUAAGUCAGGGGUGAAAUCCCGGGGCUCAACCCCGGAACUGCCUUUGAUACUGGGUGUCUUGAGUGUGGAAGAGGUCAGUGGAAUUGCGAGUGUAGAGGUGAAAUUCGUAGAUAUUCGCAGGAACACCAGUGGCGAAGGCGGCUGACUGGUCCACAACUGACGCUGAGGUGCGAAAGCGUGGGGAGCAAACAGGAUUAGAUACCCCCGUAGUCCCUGUCUCUUAUAC